CUUGUUGGCGAGGUAAUGGCUCACCAAGGCAAUGAUCGGUAGCCGGACUGAGAGGUUGGCCGGCCACACUGGAACUGAGACACGGUCCAGACUCCUACGGGAGGCAGCAGUGGGGAAUCUUGCACAAUGGACGAAAGUCUGAUGCAGCAACGCCGCGUGGGGGAUGAAGCUUCUCGGAGUGUAAACCCCUUUCGACCCGGAAGAAUGCCCGCAAGGGUAUGACGGUACGGGUAUAAGAAGCCCCGGCUAACUACGUGCCAGCAGCCGCGGUAAUACGUAGGGUGCAAGCGUUAAUCGGAAUUACUGGGCGUAAAGCGUGCGCAGGCGGUUUUGUAAGUUUGUCGUGAAAGCCCCGGGCUCAACCUGGGAAUGGCGAUGAAGACUGCAAGGCUUGAAUCUGGCAGAGGGGGGUAGAAUUCCACGUGUAGCAGUGAAAUGCGUAGAGAUGUGGAGGAACACCGAUGGCGAAGGCAGCCCCCUGGGUCAAGAUUGACGCUCAUGCACGAAAGCGUGGGGAGCAAACAGGAUUAGAUACCCUGGUAGUCCACGCCCUAAACGAUGUCUACUAGUUGUCGGGUUUUAAUUAACUUGGUAACGCAGCUAACGCGUGAAGUAGACCGCCUGGGGAGUACGGUCGCAAGAUUAAAACUCAAAGGAAUUGACG
rnacentral:rRNA from 1 species